rnacentral:rRNA from 1 species
GACGAACGCUGGCGGCGUGCUUAACACAUGCAAGUCGAACGGAAAGGCCCUGCUUUUGUGGGGUGCUCGAGUGGCGAACGGGUGAGUAACACGUGAGAAACCUGCCCUUGACUUUGGGAUAACUUCAGGAAACUGGGGCUAAUACCGGAUAAGAGCUCCUGCUGCAUGGUGGGGGUUGGAAAGUUUCGGCGGUUGGGGAUGGACUCGCGGCUUAUCAGCUUGUUGGUGGGGUAGUGGCUUACCAAGGCUUUGACGGGUAGCCGGCCUGAGAGGGUGACCGGCCACAUUGGGACUGAGAUACGGCCCAGACUCCUACGGGAGGCAGCAGUGGGGAAUAUUGCACAAUGGGCGGAAGCCUGAUGCAGCAACGCCGCGUGCGGGAUGACGGCCUUCGGGUUGUAAACCGCUUUCGCCUGUGACGAAGCGUGAGUGACGGUAAUGGGUAAAGAAGCACCGGCUAACUACGUG